GACAGAGGCCCCGAGCGUUAAUCGGAAUCACUGGGCUUAAAGGGUGCGUAGGCUGGUCCGAAAGUGCUUUGUGAAAUCCCAUGGCUCAACCAUGGAACAGCGGGGCAUACUACGGAUCUCGAGGAAGGUAGGGGCCGCCAGAACAGUAGAUGGAGCGGUGAAAUGCGUAGAUAUCUACUGGAAUGCCGAUGGUGAAGACGGGCGGCUGGGCCUUUCCUGACGCUGAGGCACGAAAGCGUGGGGAGCAAACAGG
rnacentral:rRNA from 1 species